rnacentral:rRNA from 1 species
CCCAAACCCCUGUGAACAUACCAUUUGUUGCCUCGGCGGUGCCUGCUUCGGCAGCCCGCCAGAGGACCCAAACCCUUGAUUUUAUACAGUAUCUUCUGAGUAAAUGAUUAAAUAAAUCAAAACUUUCAACAACGGAUCUCUUGGUUCUGGCAUCGAUGAAGAACGCAGCGAAAUGCGAUAAGUAAUGUGAAUUGCAGAAUUCAGUGAAUCAUCGAAUCUUUGAACGCACAUUGCGCCCGCCAGUAUUCUGGCGGGCAUGCCUGUUCGAGCGUCAUUUCAACCCUCAAGCCCCCGGGCUUGGUGUUGGAGAUCGGCGUGCCCUCCGGGGCGCGCCGGCUCCCAAAUUAGUGGCGGUCUCGCUGUAGCUUCCUCUGCGUAGUAGCACACCUCGCACUGGGAAACAGCGUGGCCACGCCGUUAAACCCCCCACUUCUGAAAG